AAAAUCGACGUGUCCGAGCAUUUUUUCGAAAUAAAUUUAUUCCGCCCGUUAUCUCGUCUGUUUCGUUUUAAAAAGCCCACCCUGUAUAUAAAGAAUUCAGAUUUUAGUCCGGUUAUCGUCAUCAUUAUAAUCACUAGCACCAUCUAUGUUGGAAAACGAUAGUGUCAAGUUUGGUGACUUCCACGCUUUGAAUGAAUAUGCAUUAUUGUAGUCAGUGCGGUAGAACACCAAGUCCGGAUAUGUCUGUGGAUGAUGAGGUACCUUUUCUGAAAAAAGAUAAGGGAAACACUAUGUCCAGGAUAAAUUGAUGCGAGAGAAUUAAGACUGUAGUGCUUCAACGAUAAUUGACGGCAAUGUUUUGUUUUUAUUGAACAUUUUGUUCGUGUCUCGUGACUUGUUCUUUCAAAAUGACGAACCAGUAGCAUUCAUUCAGUUGUGGAUCUCCUGAAAACAUGUCAUUUCUAACGAUGUGUCCUUUCGGUGCAUGUACCUGAUUUUUUCAAGUAGUGAAUUCUUCAUGAAAAAAGAGGUUUCCAAUUAGUCAAUUGAAAGACAAAGUUUCAUGUUUGAGACAUUAAAAGCCAUUCCCAAUUCCCACAAGGUUCAUAUCAAGUUAACUUAAUUCAUUAAUGUUUUUGAUUUCAAUUCUUCAAUUUAUCUUUGAAUUCUUUCUCUAAUAAUAGUGUUGCUGAAAUUUCGAUAAAAAUAGUAAAUUAUAUCAUAUUUUAUCAUGAAUGGGGUCCUCAAUAGUUUUUUUGAUGAUAAUUGCAAAUUUAGAAAAAAAACUCUAAGAGUGUAAUUUUUCUUAAGUUGUGUAAAAAACAAUAUUAGAACUAGAGCAAUUGAUGAAGUUUUAAAACUCAACAGAUUAAGUAUCUCUUGGAGAAUUAUUCUUGCUACUACCUACGAAUUGAGCAAAAGAAUGUAUAAAAUAUUAUGGGGGAGAAAACAUUUACCUUGACGAAUUUGGAACUGGAAAGUUGGGAGAAAAUUUAGGAACCUAGCACGAGUAAUCUUCUAAACCCUAAAAUUUAAAUUGAAAUAAUUUGAAAAUCAAUUAUAUAUAAAAACUGGCCACGUGGUAUAUAUG